GACGAACGCUGGCGGCGUGCUUAACACAUGCAAGUCGAACGGAAAGGCCCUGCUUUUGUGGGGUGUCCGUGUGGGGAACGGGUGAGUAACACGCGAGUAACCUACCCGUGCCUUUGGGGUAACUACCGGAAACAGAGGCCUAUACAGGCUACAAGCUCCUGCAGCACGGUGUGGGUUGGAGAUUAUCGGCGGUUGGGGCUGGUAUCGCGGCUUAUCAGCUUGUAGGUGGGGUAGGGGCUUACCAAGGCUUUGACGGGUAGCCGGCCUGAGAGGGUGACCGGCCACAUGGGGACUGAGGUACGGCCCAGACGCCAACGGGCGGCAUCGGUGGAAAAUAUUGCGCAACAGGCGGAAGCCUGAUUCGGCGACGCCGCGUUCGGAAGAACUGCUUACGGGUGAUAAACCGCUUUCUCCGGAUACGGAGCGGGAUUGACGGUAACGGAUAAGAAAGCACCGGCUAACUACGUG
rnacentral:rRNA from 1 species